rnacentral:rRNA from 1 species
GUGAACAUACCACUUGUUGCCUCGGCGGAUCAGCCCGCUCCCGGUAAAACGGGACGGCCCGCCAGAGGACCCCUAAACUCUGUUUCUAUAUGUAACUUCUGAGUAAAACCAUAAAUAAAUCAAAACUUUCAACAACGGAUCUCUUGGUUCUGGCAUCGAUGAAGAACGCAGCAAAAUGCGAUAAGUAAUGUGAAUUGCAGAAUUCAGUGAAUCAUCGAAUCUUUGAACGCACAUUGCGCCCGCCAGUAUUCUGGCGGGCAUGCCUGUUCGAGCGUCAUUUCAACCCUCAAGCACAGCUUGGUGUUGGGACUCGCGUUAAUUCGCGUUCCCCAAAUUGAUUGGCGGUCACGUCGAGCUUCCAUAGCGUAGUAGUAAAACCCUCGUUACUGGUAAUCGUCGCGGCCACGCCGUUAAACCCCAACUUCUGAAUGUUGACCUCGGAUCAGGUAGGAAUACCCGCUGAACUUAA